rnacentral:rRNA from 1 species
GAUGAACGCUGGCGGCGUGCCUAAUACAUGCAAGUCGAGCGAACAGACGAGGAGCUUGCUCCUCUGACGUUAGCGGCGGACGGGUGAGUAACACGUGGAUAACCUACCUAUAAGACUGGGAUAACUUCGGGAAACCGGAGCUAAUACCGGAUAAUAUAUUGAACCGCAUGGUUCAAUAGCGAAAGACGGUUUUGCUGUCACUUAUAGAUGGAUCCGCGCCGCAUUAGCUAGUUGGUAAGGUAACGGCUUACCAAGGCAACGAUGCGUAGCCGACCUGAGAGGGUGAUCGGCCACACUGGAACUGAGACACGGUCCAGACUCCUACGGGAGGCAGCAGUAGGGAAUCUUCCGCAAUGGGCGAAAGCCUGACGGAGCAACGCCGCGUGAGUGAUGAAGGUCUUCGGAUCGUAAAACUCUGUUAUUAGGGAAGAACAAAUGUGUAAGUAACUAUGCACGUCUGGACGGUACCUAAGCAGAAAGCCACGGCUAACUACGU